UUGAAGAGGCCACGGCACUCCAGUGAGCUCUGCAGCCUUCUCCCAGCAGCUCUGCCAAGCACAGCGCCGUACAUUGUAUAGUGGCAGUGCUUGAUAUUGCAGCUCAGCCCCAUUCACUUGAAUAGGGCAGAGCUGCAACUAAGCCACGUGACCAAUG